UACGGAGGAUCCGAGCGUUAUCCGGAUUUAUUGGGUUUAUAGGGAGCGUAGGCGGGUUGUUAAGUCAGUUGUGAAAGUUUGCGGCUCAACCGUAAAAUUGCAGUUGAUACUGGCAUCCUUGAGUACAGUAGAGGUAGGCGGAAUUCGUGGUGUAGCGGUGAAAUGCUUAGAUAUCACGAAGAACUCCGAUUGCGAAGGCAGCCUGCUGGACUGUAACUGACGCUGAUGCUCGAAAGUGUGGGUAUCAAACAGG
rnacentral:rRNA from 1 species